CUGAAACCUUGUCUUUUGAAGAGAAAACUUGGAUACACUUGUAUCAAAGGCAUGCCCCAAGUCAUAUGGAUUUAGCAUUGGUUGGUAAGCCCAGUGAUAAAAAGAAAAUAAGUAAUCAGAAAGAGAACCCCCAAAGGAAAGAAGAUCAUGAAACUUCAGGGAAAGAAGCACUUCCUGUAAUUGGUGUUUGGGAAUUUGAGCGUGACGAUGAUGAAUAUAUGAACUUCCUUGAGCUCUUCUUGAGCUAUGUUCUUGAAAGAGACCUUUGUUCCCGUGAUCCUGGCAUUCCAUUUUUGACAAGCUUUUCUGAGCAUCUUAGAGAACACGAACUUAAUUCUCUACUUUUUGAUGUACAUACAACAUUAAAACGACGCCAGAGCAAAGCCAGCAGUGACAGUGUGUAUAGAGCUGGUUCCUGCUUUGCUGUCACUCCUGAGUCACAGGAAUCUGAAA
rnacentral:lncRNA from 1 species